UACGGAGGGAGCUAGCGUUGUUCGGAAUUACUGGGCGUAAAGCGCACGUAGGCGGCGAUCUAAGUCAGAGGUGAAAGCCCGGGGCUCAACCCGGAUGCUUGUAGACUGGAGUUGCUAGAAUCCGGGAGGAGGUGAGUGGAAUUCCGAGUGUAGAGGUGAAAUUACGUGAUAUUCGGAAGAACACCAGUGGCGAAGGCGGCUCACUGGACCGGCAUUGACGCUGAGGUGCGAAAGCGUGGGGAGCAAACAGGAUUAGAAACCCUUGUAGU
rnacentral:rRNA from 1 species